rnacentral:rRNA from 1 species
CCUACGGGUGGCAGCAGUGAGGAAUAUUGGUCAAUGGACGAGAGUCUGAACCAGCCAAGUAGCGUGAAGGAUGACUGCCCUAUGGGUUGUAAACUUCUUUUAUAUGGGAAUAAAAUUUUCCACGUGUGGGAUUUUGUAUGUACCAUAUGAAUAAGGAUCGGCUAACUCCGUGCCAGCAGCCGCGGUAAUACGGAGGAUCCGAGCGUUAUCCGGAUUUAUUGGGUUUAAAGGGUGCGUAGGUGGAUUGUUAAGUCAGUUGUGAAAGUUUGCGGCUUAACCGUAAAAUUGCAGUUGAAACUGGCAGUCUUGAGUACAGUAGAGGUGGGCGGAAUUCGUGGUGUAGCGGUGAAAUGCUUAGAUAUCACGAAGAACUCCGAUUGCGAAGGCAGUUCACUAGACUGCAACUGACACUGAGGCUCGAAAGUGUGGGUAUCAAACAGGAUUAGAUACCCCAGUAGUC